rnacentral:lncRNA from 1 species
GAGUCCAAGCCCAGCGGUGUUUGCGGCGGGUCCGGGGCCUGGAAGCGCGGGGGCGGCGCCGAGAGUGAGUAAGAAGUUCUGGAACAGCCUCAGUUCCAAAAAAAUGAGUCGCUUUGUUGCGGCAUUAAAUUUUGCCCCUAACUCGUGUGUCCCGGGGUGGCCCGGGAGCAGCGGGCCCUUCCUCUUCCAGGCUCCCUGGCCCCGGUCUUUGAUGACUCAGAGCUCCUGCGGUCACCGGGCCGCUCUGGAGACUCAUCAGAGCAGCUCCCCCAUCCCGUCAGCUCUGCGGUUACAGCCUCAGUUAAUUUCCAAAGUCGCCCACUUUCAAAACACGAUCUUAGGGCGGGACGAGAUGUACGCAUCUUCCCGUGGCCAGCAGCAGUGAUGGCAACGCUGUAGGCACCUCCUUCCCUUAGGAAGAAGCCAAACAUUUCACGAAGUCCUUCUGUGCUUUUAGACGAAACUGGAAAAUGGCCUUCAUUGGAAAAGCCCCAGUCCUCGGGGAGCAGAUCCCCCAUCUCUGGCAGUGCAGUGCGCCUGGGAGCUGUCUGGAACAUUCCGCAACGGUCACUCCUCUGCCCUGCAUUGGCCUUGACCACAUGACCCAGAGGUGCAGGGAGAAGCCUCCCUUGGAUGCUUGGCGAGUGAGUUCAGCGGCUGAGAGUGUCUAAGGAGAGCCGGGAACACCGCACGCUUCCUGCAGAUGGCGGGGCAGACCUGUGUGCAAGAGUGCCUGAAGGGGAUCUCCUGUGGCGCUACCUGGUCACUUUCCAAAAAGGGAGUUUCCAGGCCAGAAGCCAUCCCUGCAGCAUUGUCUUUGUGCUCCAAGAGAAGCCCUGGCACACACUUCUGCUCAGAUGGAACCACUGUUCCCUCAGUGUCCUUGUCAGUACCAGCUGGUGACUUUCCUACUCAAACCCUUCCCUCACUCUCUGCCUCAUUUUCUCAAGGUGCCGUGUUUGCCUGAAAGGACAUUGGCAGCCAGCAGGGGCGGCGGCUGGUCCUCUAGAUGGGCACGAAUGCCAUUGGCAGGCAAUGGGGCAGACUCCAUGGAAAGAUGCUUCCCUUCCUCAAGGUAUGCACUCAGCGGGGAGACCUCAUUGUCAAGUUCAGAGUUACGCUGCAGACUGCACAGCACCUCGCCUGCUUCUAGGGCCUGCUCCGGUCAGCCCAGGACCCACCACAGCAGGACCCCCCAUCCUGUGCUCACCCGGGGCUUGUCCAUGGCACUGGAAACUCCUUCCUGUUCCUGAUCCCCCUCUGGGCGAGGGGUGGGCAGGGACAUGUGGCUCGUGCCGAGGUCUAAUACUGUGUUCCCAGCAUGGAAGCAGGUGGGGACACUUCCUGUGGCAUGCAGGAUUCCGUGUAGAAAACUGUGACUGUCACCCCUCCUCCCCACUCAGUUUUGUUAGUGGACCUUUCCCUGGCCCUUCUCUCCUUGGCCCCCUCUUGGCAGGAGAGAGGAGGAGAGGAUCUCACUUUCCCCCUGUACCAGCCACACCCUCGGUCUGCGGGGUUCCCAGCAGCUGGCCAGGGAUGCUCCACACCUGGAGAUCAAGUAACCGUCCCCUCACUCUGGGCAUCGGUGCCCUCUCUGGGGUUGGAACAGGAAAGAAAGCCAAGACCUGUAUGUGGGACUUGAGUUGAGACUCAAUUCUGUAGAGUCAGGGGUGAGGAGGAGCCAGGCCUCCUGUGUGCUCUCCCUACCCCAGAGCCGGGUGCCCAGUUCCAUGGGUCCUGAUGGACAGAAGGGAAGAACAGGGGGGCUGCUGCACCGUGGGUGGUAAUGCAGUGGGAGCCACCUCCAGCUGAAUGCCCAGGGACUCCUGGGGCUGCUGGCCCCGGGUCCCAGCAGUGGGUCCUGUUUCUUCUUUACUCUCGGAAUGCAGGAUCUGCCACACCAAAACGUCCCCUCCACAUUUGGUGAAAUAGGAAGCUCCAUGGCAUGCCUUCCAUCUUUCAAGGUGACUGAGAGGUUUAUUUUCAUAGGAGCCUCAGUGGCCUUGUCCGUACCCACCUCUGCACGUGGUUGCAGAAAGUGAAGGAUUGUCAGGGAGCAGGGCAGACAUUUGGUUUAUCUGUGUCAUUGGUCAAAGUUUUGUUUUUCCUCCAGAAGAAAAAGGCUUGUGAACAUGCCACCGUAUUCUUCAUUCCUUCUUUUGGAAAUGUACGAAGAACGGGUGGCAUUUUGGAGUUAUUGGCCUGUGAACAGCUGGCCCAGAGGAAGGGUUGGAUGUGGGUGGGUGUGGCCGCCUCUGCCCCUCCCCAGCGCAGGUGUGUGUGGGCAGCCCAGGCAGGCGCUCAGGAAGGGUGAGGUGGAGCCCUGCACGCUCUGAGCACAAAGUCCUGGGAUCCCUUAAACCCAAGCACUGCCUUGACAGCAGCCAGCAUGGCUGAUAGAAGAGACACAGAAGUCCAGCUGAUGCCAGACAGAGGGUGUCACUAGAGAGCCGUGCUAGGUGGGGGUCAUUCAAGUUGUCUUGGUGUAUGCAGACGUUGCUUCUAGAGAGUCAGAAGCUCUAUAUGCGUAGUGUUGGAGCAGAAUUUCGGGAUAGUGAUGGCAAGCCUCCUCCCAAGCCAGCUGGGGAGUAUGGGGAGGGGGUGGCCGGAGGAACCUGGCAUCCCCGGGUUAGGACCACAGAGGUGGCUCUGCCUGCAGCUGGGCCUCUGCCUCAUCCUGACUCCCCCUGCUUUGGUCAUGGCUCUUCUUGUCCUUCCUCUUCUCAGUGCAGGAGGACCCUGAAUCAAAUGCCUCAUCCUGGUUUGCAUUUUACCCUCGGAUGAAGCUUGUGGCGAACCCCAGGACUCUGUGUCUCCUGAGUCUCUGCAGACCUCGGGUCCUGGACCCAGAGACUCUUCUCCCUGGGACAGGAGGCACUGGGAUGGGUGGACAGGGGUGGCCUGGGGCACAGUAGCUGACGGGGGGACUUCCUAGCCUUCUGGGCCUUUCCAACUCUGAGUGUGACCUUCCUAUUCUUGAUCACAGCCCCCAACUUCAGAGCCUGCUAGAGCCUGCAGAAUGCGGCUUCAUCCUCUUCCUCUGUGAGAAAAGGCGGGGCCUGGCAGUCCCGCCAAUCUUGUAUAUUUGCUCCCCACCUCGGUGGUGAAUACAUUCUUGGGUGGUGAAUAGGUUCUCUCCUUGCCUUCACUCUAGAAAAGUCCCCUGUUUUGUGAUGUAGGAUGUGGUCAAUGACUGACUCGUCCCUUUGGACCAUAGACGCAGCUCUGAUUUCUGGUGUUCCUGGGCUCUGCACACAGCAGGAACCACUCUGGGCUUUCAGGGAUGCAUCUUCUUGCUCACUUUUUCUUGUUGGCUCUUCUCCCUGCGUCUUCUGCCACUGCCCUGUUCUGGGUGGGAGGCUGUCACGCUGUGGUGGGGGGUCCCCUCUCCUGCCUCCCCUCUUUGAUCCUUUUCUGUGAGGGUCUGCUGGGGUCCUGUGUGUCGUGCAUUGUUGAUAGAUUCCUGUCGUGCUUGCUGUCCUCCCCAUUCUAAGGGACCUCUGAAUGCCUGUGAGCAGUUUACAGGGGCCUCUCCUGGCCCCUUCACCCGAGGAAUUCCCGCAACGCGUGAGUUUGUGAGGGGCGGAUCCUGGGAGGAUGUGACGUCAGGUGAGAAGGGAGGGCCCGUCCUAGUCCGGUGGGCUCCUCUAACAAAGUGCAUUAGCCUGGGGAGUUACUGACGCCCGAAAUAUGUCGUCAAAGUUCUGAAGGCUGAGAAGUCCAAGAUCAAGAUGCCUGAGGAUUCAGUGCCUGGUGAGGACCCAUUCCUUAGGGCAGUGCCUCUAGCUGUGUCCUCAUGUGGCCGAAGGGGACAAGGGAGGUUGCUGGAGCCUGUUUGAUGAGAGCACUACCUUCCUUCAGGAGGGGAUUAUUCAGAAAGUCUGUCUGGUUUCAGGGCAUUCCCAAAGGCCCCACCUGUUCAUUCUACCCCAUUGGGAAUUAGGCUUCAACAUACAAAUUUGGGAGACACUGACAUUUAGGCCAUAGCACGUCAAAGGCAAAGUGAGGCUGAGUGUGGAAACCAUCCAAGAAUCUGGAUGUGGCCCAGGCAGAAGGAAACUCAAAGUGAUGGGGUGACCGAUGGUCCCUGGUCUGUGCAGGACUCAGCGGUGCGGAUGGCCCUGGGCACGGUGGCAGUGGCUGUUGGAGGAUGAUAGGGAACAUGUUGGUGGGGGGAGGGUGGAGCCCACUAUGAGUGGCAACUCCCUGGGGGCACAGGAAGCAAAGCUAGAGGUGGCUCCCCUCUCCCCUCCCUGCACACAGUGUCACCUCUGUGGUGGCCCUGUCAUCCGCCUCAGUUCACAGGUGUUGCUGUAACAACUCCUGAAAUUACCUCCAAAAGGAGGCUCGUGCAGGUGCCUGCAGGAGCCAGGAGGCCGAAGUGCAUCCUGAGUGUCCGGGGACAGGCCAGCCUGGUGGGGUCCACAGCCCCACAGUCCCAACGACUGCCUCAGAAAUGGGCAGAGAGCAUGCCUGGUUCUAGCUGGCAAGGCCCACAUCUCAGAGCUGUGGACAGUCAUGAAGGGUCCGUGAGCAUGGAGAGGGGGCAAAAAUGACCCAUGAACCUCAGGCCACUGUGCUGCCAUCCAGCCAAGUGCGGUACCAGCCCUUCGGGCCUCGAGAUCCUCUACCCUUCUCUGGGCCUUGCUGAUUUCCUCCUCCAGCCCCUCUGUUUGUGUACGCACAUACACACAGGCACGCACGCACACGCACACCCAGUGCAAUUUCUCUCUGCUCCCUGUACUCCCCAGAAUUCAAUGGGUUCCUCUUUCCUCCUCAGAGAUAUAGUCCUGGGCCCCAUCUCAGCCUGCAGAGGCCUAAACGUUUCCCAGGAUUGUCUUCUAAUUCUCAGGUCCUGCUUUAAAACAAAACCUAAACUAAACCUAAAAUGCUUUCUGAAAAGAAUAAUACACCAACAUAAAGUCCGGGUAUCCUAAGCAUGUGGUGUGUAUGGUGUCUGAAAUUGAAUAUGCUGUGAAACUGCCUGUGUCGAAACACAGUGUUUCCCAAGACCUGGAGGCUCUCUCUCUCCAGUUGCUGAUUGUGAUCACCUCUCCCGAUCACCGCUGAGCCCUGCAGGUCACCUUCUCCUGACCUAUUACACCACUGAUUGCUUAUGCUGGGCACAAUUUUAUACCCUUGCUGUUGUUCAGUCUAAUCAUCCCUAUAACCCUAUCGGAUCAUUCCCAUAUGACAGAGGAGAAAACUUGGGGACACAGGGGCUGUGUCCUGGCCAAGGCCUUGCUUGCAGCAAAAGGCAGAGCUGGGAUCUAGCCAGGAGCCCCUGCACAGUCCUGUUCUUCCCCCACUAAACUGAGCUGUGAAAUAGAUCAUGGCGGUCUGGAAAACGAGCUAACUCCGUGCCGAUGGAGGUGUUGAUGGAUGUCCACCACUCUCCACUUGGGAGGAAGCCUUAACAUUCCCCGCAGGUCUAGCUUCUCUCUGUGGCUGAGUACCUUGGGAAAGCGGGCUCAGAGGAGGAAAGGGACUUACUUGCCCAAGGGCCACAGCUGCCAAGUGGCAGGUAAGGGACCGUUAUUCUCCUGUCCCUUUCACAGAGGACAGGAGGAAAGUGAGGACAGGUGGUGUACAUGCAUCUUUUCCGCAGCAGGCCCAGAUCAGCUCUGCACACGGUGCUGACCUCAAAUUCAGCCCUAGAGGGGCCUGUCUCUGCCCUGAGUGAGUAUUGAGGUGCAGGCUUCUUCCCCUUUGUUCUGUCCAUUUCCAAAAAUGUGAACACACACCUCCAACAUGUUUCUGUGUAUAUUAUUGUGUGCAUAGAUACUACCAUUGUAAAAUAUUAUGCAGAUUAAUAAUGCACUAUGCCAUUGAAAAUUUCAAAAGAAAUGUGUAAUAAACAUUUAAAAUUAAUAUUUUUGUUCUCAGUUGUUAAGGGAUAUAAUCAGGUUCUCUGCAAAAUACUAUGGUUUAAAAAUAACAAAGAUAAUAUGGGUAUUAAUAACAUUUCAUCAACAGGAAUGAUGGAGAAUGCUUCAGUUUUUCUGUAGGGAUUUAAUUUUUGAAUUGGGAUUUUGGGUAAGAUAUCUUUAGGAUAAAAUAUGUGCACACAAGAAAAUAGCAUAUUUUUCCUAAAAAUUUGUUUUUUAUGCAUUAUUAUAUACACAUAAAAAUAGUCUUAUUUUGGCUGGGCACAGUGGCUCACGCCUGUAAUCCAAGCACUUUGGGAGGCCGAGGCAGGUAGAUCACCUGAGUUCAGGAGUUGGAGAACAGCCUGGUCAACAUGGUGAAACCCCAUCUCUAUUGAAAAUAGAAAAAACAUUAGAUGAGCAUGGGGCGGGCACCCAUAAUCCCAGCUACUUGGGAGGCUGAGGCAGGAGAAUCGCUUGAACCCGGGAGGUGGAGGUUGCAGUGAGCCAAGAUAGCACUGUUGCACUCCAGCCUGGGCAAUAAGAGCAAAAUUCCAUCUUAAAAAAAAAAGAAAGAAGUAGUUUUAUUUCAAAAUUAGAAGCAAAAAGAAAAUAAAUAUAUCCUGCUAUAGAGACUUGUCUUCGGAUGCUUAUGACCUCCUGUAAAUGCAGUUCCUCCCUCAUCCCCGUCUAAGUAUCCUUCCUCAGCCUCCUCAAAUUGGAGCCUGCGUCAUCAGAACCACGUGGAAGGCUCUAAAAACAUUGACAGCAUAGAGGGAGACCCUAUCUCCAAAAAACAAAACAAAAAACCCUUUAUUUUUAAUGGGAUAAAGAGUUAAAUGGUAGUUAGAUAUUCAAGUUUUGUAUGCUCCAUGAACAAACAAACAAACAAAAACACACGACACUUGAUGGAGACUGCAGGCCUGUGUUCUGUACCUGGCUUUGAGGGAGUGAUUGGAUGGGAUGGUGUGCUUCCUGUGCCUGUCCUGUCCACUCUGGGUUUAAUUUACUCUCAGUUGGCCAUUGUUCUUUCCAUGAUCUUAUUUUCCAGGCAUUGUCCUAGGACCCAAGGUCUCUUACAUUCUUACAUGUAACAGUAAGAAUUCUUACAAUAAGAAUUGAGAGAGUAGAAGCUAUUUUUCCUAUGACUUAGAACUUUGGGGGAAGUUUAAAGGGAGAUACUGCAUGUAUUCUGUGUCAUCAUCUAAUUUCUACAGACCCUUCUUAAGGAACUGACAUUAAUGUUGUACUUAAUUCUUCAGGCAGUGUGGGCCAAAAAUAAAGCCAAAUAUACAUUUAGUCUAAAAGUACAAGUCAUAUUAUUUCCAUCAGUGGAUUCCUAUAAUCCUAUGAAUAAAAUCUUAUACAUUGGCUUAUAA